rnacentral:lncRNA from 1 species
AUUGACUUAAUUCGACCUUCGAACCCAUUGCGGGUUCUGUAAAAGGAUUGUUACUCAAGGACAUAAGUGAUUUAAUUCAAGAAAUCACUUAAGUUACAGAAAAAGUUUUUGAAAAUUUUUUUGCAGAUAAUUGACAAGUAAGUUGACCCGAGAACAAGCAGACAAUAAUCCAAUAUAUACUGAUCAAAAAACACAGUAACUAAAAAAUUUCAGAUUUCCAAAAAAUUUGGUACCAAUCAAUAAGAUUCCAGAAAAAUGAAAUUUCCUAAAAACGUUUUCCUAUCACAAUCAAACACAAUAUUCAGUUUCUUUGAAUGAUACAAUCACAGUAACAUGCUUGAAAUCAGAUUCAACAUUUAUAUCAAGCAAAGGACGACAGUGUUUAAUUUUUAAAGAUCUCACCAAAAAUACUGUGUAAUACAGUAUCUAAAAAUGCAGUUUCGGUUUCUGCAGAUAGGGGUCCGAAACCCUAGCUUCCAAGAAUCACUAUAUUUCACUUUUUAAAAACUGCACAAGUGAAGUAAAUGUGUUAAUACGAUAAGAGAUUAAACUGUAUCCAAAUAUACCUUACCUCACGGCCUUAUAGGCUCUGAUACCAGAUUUGUUAGGCAAUUCGUACCCCAACACCGAAAAACACAUUAAGCACAACACAAAUAUAAAGUGCAAGAAAAUAAGAACACAAGAAUGGUCACCCAGUUCGGCCUUGAAGGCUUAAUCUGGGGGGCUCAGGUCAGCCCAAUCCACUAGUGCAAUUCUGCCUCACAGAGAGAGUGUACAGUACAUAGAACCAAGAUAGAAAACCAGAUCAAUCAUCGACCCUAAAAUCGGAUCUCAAAUCUGGACAUAAACUCACAGCUUCCUCCCUAACCGACUACAACUACAAAAACAAGACAGAUCACACAUACAAGACCGUCCUCUAUUUACUAUAGUAUUUACAUUUUAACCAGAGUCUUCCAAAUGGAGAAACAAUCUCCAGAUUCAAAGAGCCAAGAAAGGAAGAAGAAGAGUCGACCAACAGAGAGAGAAAAAGAGGUAUUAUCAAAACCGUAUGGGAAAAUAAUACCACCCUUCCAGCUGGUUAUCAAAACUAAGGGCCAUCUCUAGUUUAAUCUCCACCAUUCAUUUAAUCCAAUGGUCCACAUCCAACCGGAAGAAACACAGAUCCGGGUCAUAUCAAAUACACGAAUCAGGAGCUGCCACGUGAUAUCUACCAACUUAAAAUACAGCAAAUGUCCAGAUUGCCCUCUCAUUAGUUGCUAAUUUGGAGAACCACGUUUUUUUUCUCCUUCAUGCAUGAUUACAUAUUUAGAUAAUUAGAGAAUCAGAAAAACUAAGUAAUAAUUGCCCCUUUCAAGUAUGAAUAACAAAGUUUGCUGAAUUGUUAAUUGAAUGACCAAAACAAAGUUGUUAUUUAGGUACCAAACGUUUCAUGAAGAAAACCCAACAAGAACUGCGUAAUGGCCCAUUUGAAAAGGACCUAAGGAAACAUGUGGAAAUUAUAGCAAUCUAUGGUUUUUAAAUUCUCAAUUCAAAAAUUAGAUUUGAAAGUUUUUUGUUCAAAAAAAUCAGAUAAUUUCUUUAAUAUUAUAAAAUUAAAUUAAUUUAACUCAACACCAAUAACACAUAUCCACACCAAAACCCAUCCCCAACACCACAUAACCCUAAUUCAUCUUUUGAUAUUUCAUUGAAGCUGCAAAAGAGCAUCACCGAUGACAGGGGCAUCAACGGUGUGAUCUAUUUCUUUGUCAUUGCGAUCUCUCUUUUUUGUCCUCUGCAUUUGUUGUCACCGUUUGUAGGCAUCAUUGCUUGCCAUUUGCAGAGCAGCCAUGCACGAGAAGCUUUAUUGAUGGCAUUGGUGGUGCAUAGGCGAUGUUGUUGGUUCUCGAGUAGUGCGGACGGUGUUGGUGGUUAGUAGCAAAGUACGCGGCGCAAUUUAGGUGCUGUUAUUGGUAUUGCGGGUAGUGGUGGCAGUAAUGAUUGUAACAAUGGGGUUGGUGGCAUGGUAGCGUUGGAGGGGGAUGAAAAGCUUGCGAUUAAUUAUUUGGGUAUUGUGAUCAAUAAAUUUGUUGAUUUGUGAUCAAUAAAUAAUAUAUAAUUUAGAAGAAUGUGUGAUUGUGACUAAAUUUGAAAUUGUAGAAUUUAGUAACUUGUAACCAAUCAAUUCAAUAAUUUGUAAUCGACAAAUAAUUUUUAACUAAUUAAUUUGAUAAUUUGUGACCGUAAAAUAACUUGUGGCUUAUAAAAUUUAUGAUCAGUGAUCUAUAAAUGAACUGUGACUUACAAAAAUUUUAAUUUUCAAUCGAUGAAUAAAUUGUUACAAUUAUUAUUAUUAAUUUUUUUUUGUGAUCGAAAAAUAAUUUGUGACCAGAAAAUAAUUUGUAAUUAAUUAAUUCAAUAAUUUGUCAGCAAAUUAUACAGUAUUGUGACCUUAAUAAAUUGUGCAUUUUAGCCCAUAACUUUGGCCCCCCAUUAAAUUAAAUUUUAUUUUUCUCUCUUUCUUAUUUUCAAUCACAAUCUUCCAUAAAAUAAUAUUUCAUGUAAAUCGAAAAAUGUUUCUUAUUUUUCAACCAUCCAUUCUUUAAUGAAAUAUUAUUUCACCCGUUAUGAUUUGAAAUAAUUGGGGGCCAAACGAGGGCUUAGUCUCCUCAAAUAUGAAUUUUUCCCAAGAAACAUUUAGAGGGUAUAUUCAAUUGAGAUUUUUGAAGAUAUUGAUGAAUUUUUUUAAGUGAUGACUUUCGUGAAUUUCUUGGAUCUUUUAUAGAUUUAUAUGGAAUUAGUAGACUUUUAUUUUAAAAUUUAUAUAGACUUUUAAAGACUUUCAUUUGAAAUAGAAUUUACGUAGAUAUAUUACAAUAGUGUGAAAUUCUCAUAUACAAUGUGUUAGUUCCCACAAUUUCCCUUCUUCUCAUAUAAUAAAAAAAAAUUGAAAAAUUAAAAAUUUAAGAUUUUAAUUAAAUCAAUAAUAAUAAAAAUUAUACAUAUAUAUGAUUCAAUAUUAUUAGCAUAAUAUAGUUUUAAAAUUAAAUAAAAAUCAUUAUAAUUAAAUUUAAUUAUAAAUUUUUCAAAUAAAACUUUAUAAUUUAAUAAAAAAAUAGAUAUUUUUCACAAAUAAAAUGAAAAAAAAUGAAAAAAAAGUUACAAGAAUUCAAUUUAAAUUUUCAUAGAAAAUAGCGAUAAAUAAUGAGAGAGAGAAAGAAAGAAAGAAAGAUAAAUAGAAAUAAAUAUAAUCAAUAGAAUAAAAAUAAAUUUUAAUCAUACAUGUCCAUUGAAAUUUAGAAGAAAAAAGAUUGAAAAAAAUUGUGAAAGUCUCUCAAAAUCUCGUGAUUAAUGAUAGAGAAAUUGUAAGAUUUUAUAUGAGUACUUUCUGCUUAAAAAUUAUUGUUCCAGAUACUUUUAUAAAAGUGUCUAAAAGUAAUUAAAAUUUGAAUAUCCUAAAACUUAUAGAGACUUUUAAAAAGUUUUAAUUGAAUACACCGUAACUUUUAGAGACUUUUUAAAAGUCUCAAUUGAAUACAUAGUGACUUUUAGAUAAUCUCGAAAAGUUUCAAUUGAAUACUUCUAAACUUUUUAAAUCCCAAAAAGUAAUUGAAAAUCUCAAUUGAAUACACCCUCCUUUAAGUUAACCCCUAAUGUGCUCACAAUCCAGACCCUGUUAUAAUGGGUUUUGUAUAGUCCAACUGGCCCAAACCCUGCAAGCCAUAGAAUUUGUUAGAUUAUGGAUGGACUCUACGAAAAGAGAUUCAAAUCCUUACUCAACUCAUCAUGUUAGUGGAAUUGUAGGAUUGCAUAUGGUAGUGGUGCUGCGUUAGUGGUGGAGGUGGUUUGGUUGUUAAUUGAGAUGAUGGUGGUGGUGAGGGGUUGUGGAUCUGAGGCAAUAGCGACAAUUUGGAUGGUGUCAAUGAUAGCGAUGUAGGGUGAAAUGAAAGUAAUUGUGACUAAUUUAUGACAAAUAAAUUAUUUAUUAUCUAUUGAAUACGUGGAUUGUGUUUAAAAUAUAGAAUUGUUAACCACAAAAUGUAUCUUUUGUGACUAUGAUCCCGUGUGAUUUGUGGGUAACAUGUGAUCAUAAUCAUAAAUUAUGUGUUUAUUGUGAUCCUGACAUGUUCAAUUAAAUAUAAGUCACAAAAUUUUAUCAAAAGUCUCGAAUGAUCACUUGAUUUUUGAAAUAAUUCAUCAAGUUUUUUAAAUUUAAAAAUGUAUGUUGAAAUUAUGAUAUAUAUGUAUUUUUCCCUUCUAUGAAAUCCAAGGCGAUUGCAACGUUUUAAGCAUAGUUAAUAAAAGGGAAAAUUGCAGUCGAGGUACCAAACCUUUCGUUUAUUAACAGACUUUGCUCAAACCUUUAAUUUGUGCCACCCACGAUACCAAACCUUUCAAAAACUCGCAGUGGAAGUCCAAAUGGAUGGAAACUGUUAAUUUGACCGUUAGUUGAUCAAAGAUUUAACAUUGACCAUUAUUUUGAUUAAUUUUAAAAGGAAAAAAUGGUAACUUUACAUUUUUCAACAAAAAAAUAAUUACUAUAUAUUAAUAAUUAAAUUAAAAUACAAAAAUACUAUUCAUCUUCUUCUCCAUUCACUCACUCCACAAAACCAAAUCUCACCAAAAAAUCGACACCCACCCAUUAGUUCAUCGGAUGGUUUAACCUCUGCAACAAUGGUUUUGAAUUCCAACAGAGUGGAGCACUUUUCUAGCAGCAGCGACAGCACCACAACUGCCACAACAAUUUCUUGAGAUGCAAUGCCGCCGUUGGAAACCCAUGAAGUGUGCUUGCCACCGCACAGAACCACUCUUCAGAAACUCCGACUGAGGCUCUCGGAAAUAUUUUUCCCCGACGAUCCACUUCACAGAUUUAAGAAACAAACAUGGUUUAGAAAAUUACUUCUUGGACUUCAGUAUUUCUUCCUAAUUUUCCAAUGGGCAACUAAUUAUUAUAUCAAGCUUUUGAGAUCUGAUGUCGUUUCUGGGCUUACACACUCCCACCUACCCACUUCCCAAAACCAACACCCACCAAAAGCCAUUAACAGGCAAAAUCUAGAACUUAAAUUUGGAAUGAUAGAAGUCGAAAACCCACGUAUACAGCCCUUAAGUAGUAUUUAUAUUUGUCAUCUUAUUCUCUAUGGUGGGUGCCGAUUUUUUGGUGGGAUUUGGUUUUGUGGUGUGGUUGGGUGGUUGGGUGGGUGGGAAUGGAGAAGAAGAUGAAUAGUAUUUUUGUAUUUUAAUUUAAUUAUUAAUAUAUAUUAAUUAUUUUUUUGUUGAAAAAUGUAAAGUUACCAUUUUAUCCUUUUAAAAUUAGUCAAAAUAAUGGUCAAUAUUAAAUCUUUGGUCACUAACGGUCAAAUUAACAGUUUCAAUCAAUUUGGACUUCUGCUGCAAGUUUUUGAAAGGUUUGGUAUCGUGGGUUGCACAAACUAAACGUUUGGGCAAAGUCUACUAACAAAUGAAAGGUUUGGUACCUCGAUUGCAAUUUUACCUUAAUAAAAGGCAAUUUGCUAUACGUCAAAAAAAAAAAUUGUUUUAUUGGCGGUACAACCAAACUAGUUACUAAGGCAAUAUAUAAAUCAGGGAAUGAUUUGAAUAAUCUAGAAAAUUCAGGACCAUUUUGCAUCAAUCAUAAAACUUUAGUGUCUGAAUUGCAACUUCCAGAAAAUUUAGGAGUCAUUCUAAAAUAACCUGAAAAUGAAUAUACCGUUUCCAAUAAUUUAGACACUUCUAGGAACAAAAUGCAUAUUUCAGUUUCUUCAUUGACUGACUUGCAACAAGAUGAAGCCUCAAGGACCGAUAUGCAUCAUGAUGAAAAAUCAGGGAUCAACUUGCAUAUUACGGAACUUCAAGGCAAAAUUUGCUCAACUUUAAAAAUAGAAAGUACCUAAAUUAAUAACUUAGGGACUUCUAUACAAAAUAUGGAAAAAUGUUUGUUUCGGAUGCUUGCCAUCAAUUUGGCCCAAAAUUAUAGCUCAUGACACAAAUAUAAUUAAUUCUAUAUCAUCCAAAAUAAUGUCCGAGAAUCCAUCUCAACUCUACUCUUGGAUCCACCCUACUUCAAUCACGCUCCUGCUUUUAAGCAUCGAAUCAAAUUACAUGAUCUCUAAUUUUGAUACUCGAUGUAAGAUAUUAUUACUUAGUUUGUAUAAGAUUGUGGUUACGUUUGAGUCAUAUUUUUUCAAAAAAAUACAUUCUUAAACAGUAUUUGACAUCAUUUCAAUCACACACAUUUUUCAAUAAAAUAAUAUUACACGUAAAUUCAAAAAUUUUCUUUAUUUUUUAAUCACACAUUUCUCAUCAAUACACUAUUCAAAAAUGUAUUCUUAGAAAUAAAUUUGGCUCAAACAAGAAUUCAUUCUAUAUCACCUAGAAUCAAGUUCGCUAACCUAACUACAAGUUCAAGGUACAAAAAAAUAAAAUUCACAUUAUUUUAAUAUACACAACUGUAAUUAGUUUAAUGUCUUGUUUGAGCCAUAUUAUUUUGGAAAAAAUUCAUUUUUGAAUAGUGUAUUGAUGGAAAAUGUGUAGUUAAAAAAUAAAGAAAAGUUUUGAAUUUGCGUGUAAUAUUAUUUUAUUAAAAAAUGUAUGGUUGAAUGAUAUUAAAUUACUGUUUAAAAAUAUAUUUUUUCCAAAUAACAUGAGUCAAACGGGGCCAAAAUUUUCAAAUUCUAUUGUUUUCAUCUUGACUUUGAAUAAAAUGGUUCCCUUAGAAAAAGUUCCCCAUUUAAUUAUUUGGGUUCCCAAAAAAUCUACACUUUAGACACUCUUGACUUGAUAGUUAAUUGCAAAAUUAAUUGAGAUCUCCUUAAUAAAAAAAAAAAAAAAAUGGUCGGUCGGAUUUGCCGACAACAAACGACGUUUUUUUCAACUUAGAAAGAAAUAAAACACCGUUUCCGCGGGGCCGCGUCUUCGCCUCCAAUAACUUCACAUUUGAUCAAACCCAAAUCGAAUUCCUUAACAAAUCCCAAAAUGCAGGUACAAAGCCAGAUCAAGAGCCAAUUUUUUCCAUUAAGUUCAUACUUGAUUCACUGAUUUUUUUCCCCAUUAAUUUCAUAUCUGAUUCACUGAGGUUUCAAUUGAUUGUAGGUUUCUGGAAUGGAAUUCUUCAAAAAAGCAAAAUCAGUCCGGCUGAAGAGCCAUCACGAUAAAUAUUUAACAGCCGAUUCAGACGAAGAAACCGUCGUCCAAGAUCGCCAGGGUUCAUCGAAAUCCGUGAAAUGGACAGUCGAAUUCGUGGAAGGAAUCGAAAAUGUCUUGCGUUUGAAAAGCUGUUAUGGGAAAUAUCUCUCAGCCUCGGACGAACAAUACCUUCUUGGAGUGACUGGUCGUAAAGUUAUUCAAACUAUGCCCAGAAAAUUGGAUUCAUCAAUUGAAUGGGAGCCCAUUAGAGAUGGAAUGCAGGUAAAAUUCAAAUCAAGAUACGGUAAUUUUUUGCGCGCAAAUGGGGGUUUGCCUCCGUGGAGAAAUUCAAUAACGCAUGAUAUUCCUCAUAGACAUCAUGGUUGGAUUUUAUGGGAAGUUGAUAUUACUGAAACUCGACCUGAUUCGCCCCCGAAAGUUACACGAUCUGAUACCUUGGAGGGAGACUUGAGCACUGCUUCAUUUAAUUUGAGAUCCCCCGGUUUUCGUAGUUAUGAGGUUUGUUCUCUCUUUGUUAAACUUCUGAAAAGCUUAAAUGAACUGUUUCUGAAUAUGUUUCGGAUUCAAUAUCACUUUCUCAUGAAGCUUUCUACUGGAAGCAAAUCAGAAGUCCUGACAAACAUGCUCUAGAUCUCCUAAAGCCCAAAAACAUAGUGUCAAGUGUCAACACCUGCACAGUUUUAUAAAUAGUGGCAACAAGAAUUGACCCUGCAACUUACUCUAAUGGUAACACAUUGAACUAUCAAGGCCUAGACAUGUUUAGCACGUACACAAUUUUUAUAAAUGAAUGGCAGCAAGUCUUGAAGUUGGAACUUUCAGCUCCUCUGAUGUCACGUUAAAUUAGCUCAUCUAAAUUUUAAAGUCUUCAAUGCUUAUGAUGUUUAGCAAUUCUUAUACUUUGCUGUUACCAAACUCAGUCCAGUGGUUCACUUGAUGAAUCCCCAAAGAAAUCUGAAGGCCGGCUCAUAUACUACAAUGUGGUGGAUGAUAGUGGGGAUGCUAAUGAUGAAUCUGAAGAGACUUCAUUUCAAUUUAAAGGGAAUGGCUUGGAGGACUUGAUCCAAAAAUUGGAGGAAGAAACUGGGAUUGAGAAUAUAAUUGUGUGUUCGCGAAACAAAGUAAAUGGAAGGCUUUAUCCUCUGCGGUUGGCUCUACCUCCCAACAAUGCAACUAUGCAUGUUGUUGUAGUUCCAUCAACAUCAAAAGGUUCGCAAAUGCCAAGCUUCUGCUCGAUUAAUAUUGUUGUGUUGUUUGGUUUAUAUAUAAGUGCGUCUAUGAUAUUUCUACUUGCUGAAGUUUUGGUACAUUGGAUUAGACAUUAGUGUAAACUACAUGUGCUCGUACUAAAAAGAAGCUUUAUAUGUUUUUGUUUUUGCAGUGGCUGAUGAAUUUUUGCCAGCAACUCCCUCUUUUACAUAAUGAAUUCACCACUUGUGAGACAUUCUCCAAAGAUGCUAAAACCUUAAUCACAGGAGGAGGAUUUUGAACUUCCAUUUUCUUGGGUAUUCAGCGAAUUUUCUGUUAUACAAGAAUAAUUGUAUGUUUGAUAUACAAGUUCAGAUUGUAAUGGACAGUAUAAUGUACAAGAUUUUUUGUUUUGUGAUACUAUUUAGCACUGUGGAAUCCCCCCCAGAGAACAGAGUUCAAAAUUUAUUUUUACACGGUAAUUGUUGUUCAAAAUUUCAACAAAUGGAUUAAAAGGUUUAUUCCAUAAAAACAACAUAUAAUAGAAAUGUUUAAAGAAGGAAAGACCGAUACGAAACCAAAAAUUUGAAAAAUAAAAUAAAAAUAACAGCUAGUAAUUUACAGGUGGUUACAAUAUCUUAGCGACUUAAAAUCGUUUUAUUGAAAUGGUGCUGGAACACAUUGUUUCUGGUUCACGAUUGCCAUUGCUAAAUAUCUUGUUCCCAUGCCAAUUGGAGUUUGAUCAUCAGGACCCUCCCAAAAUGGCGCUUCACCUUCACCAACCAGACGCCAAUAUCCAGUCCUUAAAGAUUCAGCCUGUUCUUCUGUGCAGUUAUCCAAAAGUGCUUCAACCCGAAAAUUAAUUCCAAGAGAACCAAGAAACUGAGACUGUGUCAUUGGGCCAUGGACAGACGCACCUGCAGAAAUCAAAACCCCAGCCUUCAUGUGUACAUUUCUCAGAAUAACAGUUCUUUUUUUCUUUUUCUUUUUGGCUUCAUUGUUUAUUGAAACAAACACAGCAAUUAAGAAAGAAAAUAUAAACUCAUAAAAGUAUAGACAAAAACCAGGAACUUCCUCAGCAGAGUGCCUAAUUGCAGCAAAAUCAACAUAUGCACUGAGAUCAGCUGAGCCAGGAUUAUCCAGUAUGUCAACAAACUUAUGUUUUCGAAUUGCCUGCAACAUUGAACCGUAAGCUGUGACCACAUUUGCCAAAGAAAUGUUAUUAUUAUUUAAUAAAAGAAAAAUGGUUUCCAGCACAAAUGGCAAUUACAAGACGCUAACCAUGAGGCAUAGUACUUCCAUUAAAAUAUCAAAGUAGUAGUUCUACCUUAUAAUUUGAGCCCAAUAAUCAUACCUGCAUAAAUAUUAUUGAACGAGGCAACUAGGAAGUUGCACUGAGAGACAUUUUAUUUUAUUUUUAUUUUAUUUUUUUGGAGGGGGGAAGGGGGUAUUAACUUGUACUUGACGCUUAAUGCAAAUAGGAUCGUAUCAUUACCACAGUUAAAUUUCUCGCAGUCCUCAUCUUAAGUUCAUUUCAUUCUUUCAUAUAAGCAUUUCCAUUAGGUUUAAAGAGUAAAAGAAAAACAUCAGAAUAGUCGGAGUCAAUCUUCAAAAAUCUACUGAAGUGUACAGGGUGUGAGAUCCAGAAGCUAUGGACCUGUAGACUAUUUGAGACUAUUCCAUUGACGCCAUAAUCAAUUAUGAGAGCCCCGCCACCAUCAAUGGCUAUUCUUUUCGAGAUUUCUUGGGUCAAAUCAAUUGCUUUGGGGCAAACUUCGAUAUGACUAAGCCUUGCAAUUUCUUCAGUCUCUGCCCAUUUGAAGCGCUUCAUGAGAUAGAGAGUUGCAGGUGUGGGCUGUGGAGAUAAAACAAAACGAAACCUAACAAAUGAAUUUGAAAAAGAAAUUACAUUACUGAAAAAUGCUGUCAAUUAGAUAAACUAUGACAGAGGGGGGUCAAAAGCUUACGACGAAUUUUCAGUAAUAUCAACCAUCUUCUCACACCAACCACGGGAAGCUUUCUGCAAGAAAAUCGUAAAAGAAUCAUAUACUUUAGGCCACAGCAAGUCACUAAACCAAAAUUUACAAACAACUUGUCUACACGUCAAUGCUGGGGAAGAUCAUAGAAACUAUUGUAGACUAAUUGGCUGCAAGAAAUAAGAUCCAACACAUUCUUAUAAUACAGGAGCUCGAGCACUUCAAAAAAAUUUUGAAUAUCAAUAGCGCACACAAAAAAUAAAUAAAUAAAUAAAUGUUAAAUGUUAUUUCAAAGUUGCAUUAAAUAAAUCAGAGGGAAAAUGGAUAUCAUUCAGUUAAAGGCAAAUAUCUCACAGUAAUAGAGCUCAAAGCAUUGGAAGCAUCAACUAAAUACACAGGUUUAUAGACAAACCUGAAACUGGUGGAGGGGUAAAGCAUCAAAGAAUUCAUGGGCAAUGAUGAUUGUAGGCACUGAAAGGGGAAAAAAAAUUAUAAAACCCAUGUCUUAAAUAAGAAUAAAUAGCAUUGCUAGCUAUUCCAAAAGCCUUCAAUGAUCAUAUAAAGUGAUCAUUUCUUGAAUGUACUCCUUUAAUUAUUUCCAGUGACUCCUUCCCCAGUAAUAUGAUUUUGCCACUGAUGAUGCAGUAUAAUUAAAUGUUCUAGAUGUCACAGAAAAGAGUAGAGUCCACUAGUUAGGCUAUAAAAGCAAAUAAAAUAUGUGCAACUAAAUGUUUGCGUUUCCAUUUAGAUCAACUCGCAUGGAGAAGCAGAUGAGCUUGCUCAAGACUGUCAUACUUCUAACAGAUUCAAUACAGAACACAUAAUGAGGUUAUGAAGAUUGAUAUACAAGUUCCUUACAUCCUGUGGGAACCUGCUCGAGCAUCGCAUGCCAGGAUACAGGGGACUCCGCUAUUGUGCUGUUAAUUCUUUUUUCAUUUUCAUCAGCACCAUCCUCAGUCGUACACUUCAAGUUCUCGUAUUGUAGUUUUUGUAAUGCUGGGCUACAUUCAAUCAUAUGAAUGUGCAAAGAAUCCGUGAAAUUCUUGAACUUUGACGCACCCUAAAGAUAAAAUAGCACUCGAUUUCAGUUGAAAUUUGAACUCCAAACUUCACAAACAACGCAAACCUGAAAAUAAGAAUUACAUGGCCAUUGCAAUAUGUUCUGAGUGAGAUUAAUUUAGUAUAAACUAUGAACCCGUACACGCAGAAGAUCAGCCAAGAGAGUUCCUCUUCCUGGUCCAAGCUCAACUAAGUUCACUUUAUUUGGCUUUCCCAUUUGCUCCCAGAGGCACAUUGCCCAAACACCAAUCAUCUUGAGUGAAAAGGACGAGUUAAUCAACGCAAUAUGUUCAAGUUAUACUAAUUCAACUUUUUCCUAUUUAAUGCAAGAAAACUUCAGUAGAUCAAAUUUACCUCUCCAAACAUUUGGCUCACUUCUGGGGAAGUAAUGAAAUCACCAUCUGCUCCAAACACAUCUCGAUUUAUAUAAUACCCUGCCUUUGGAUUCGUCAAGACUUCCUCCAUAUACUCAGCAACCGUAAUUGGCCCCCCUCGAAACUAAUGUAUAUAAAAAAGAACCAAAUACCCUCAAAUUUCUUAUUACACGGAACCCAUAUAAAAUUUAAAAACAGAAGAAUAAACUGAAUAGUAUUCCAAGAAAAUCAACUACCUUUAUGAUAUUUUUGAGGUUCUUAACAAGCUCAGAUUCAGCAGACGGUUCGUGUGAGUGCUCUACAUAUAAACAAAUCCAACCUUCACAAUAAACAUAAAAGGGGAAAAAAUAUACAGAAUCGUAUAAAUAAAUCUUUCUAAUACCAGGAGGAUUAUACAAGGCAGUGCGAUCGAUGGAAAUUGUAGCAGAAGGUGGGGAUUCUGCGGAAUUCUCCAAGUGUUCGACGAAAUGACCGUUUGGGAUUUGAGAAGAAGAGGAGGAGGAGGAGGAACAUUGUCGAAGGAAUACGAAUGAUGAUGAAGAAGCUGUAAAAUUACGACGAAUGGAAGCUUGGAGCAGAAAUUUUCUCAACAUCUUUACACCACCUGAUUAUUGUGUAAAGAUACUUUGCAGUUUUUGCUAAUAUAGCAGCAGGAAUGUUUCUUUAAAGUAGGAUUUUUUUUAUUUUUUUAUUUUUUAUUUUUUUUGGGAAAAUCGAAACUUAUUUCUAGAUAAGUAAAUUAGCGAAGAAAUUGAUGUAAUGAAAUAUGUAACUUAAAAAGUUAGAUUUGCUUUUACAGACAUUUUACUUAAGGAAGAGGACAUGGAUUUGCUUUAAAGAGUUAAAUUGUAGUUAUGAAGGUGAAAUUUUUAUAGAAAAAUUUUCAGCGAGGAUGAAUAUUUCGACAACUAAAGAUCUAUUGAAAAAUCAAAAUUCUUGACUCAGCUAUGAUAUAAAAUUCGAGUAAAGACUAUGAUAAAAAGCUCAAUAAAUGAUUUUUAUUAAUAUUAAUCACUUAAGAUGAGCGUCUCUGACCAACAUUUUUUAACAUAUAAUUUUACAAAUAAUCCGAACCAUUAGAAUUAAACUAAUCCAAUGGUCUAAAUCAAUUAUAUUAAAAAUCCUUUAAAAUUUAUUUCUCCACAGCUAAUCUUACCCUAAUUGCUUUUGAACAUCACCAAUUACCUUUUAAGAAGCAUUUUUUGGAAUGUUAACAACAAAUAAUAAUCAUAAUAAAAUAAAUAAAUAAAUCAUCAUCCUAAUUCUUCUCUUAAUGGCUUCAUCACCAUCCCCUAUCCAACGCAAAUUAUUCAUAUAGUUUGCUUCAGAUGAAAUGGGUUCCAAAAAAGACAAUUUUACUAACCGACCAAUCCUUUUAAAGAAAAUGAUUACAAUAAAUGAAGUCUACACAACCAAAUUAGUCCAUUCAUUCGAGACAAUUUUUCCUAAAACUGACAAGGAAUGAUUCUCAUUAUUGUUCGGUGUCUUUGCACAACAUUUUAAUCAAAUCCUCCAUUUGAGAAACAAAAAUCAAAUCCUAGAGUUUUUUGUAGAGGCUUGAGAUGUCAGUAAGUGUAUGGAUAGGAUUUGAUUGAAUGCUACGAGAUAAAUUUUUAGGAGUUUUAAUAUAAUUGAUGGAGACAAAUAGAUCAAUCUAAGUUUAAUGGUUCACAUUAUUUAUCAAAAGUAUUUGCUGCAAAAUUUAUUGGUCGAGGAACGCCGAUCCCCUUGUUUUAAAGCUUUAAAAUGUAUCAAGAUAUAACAUUGGACAUUUUUUGUUAAAGUUGUCUAUAAAGACUUUGUUGUGCUUCAAAUGCAUCAUCAAGAGUUCGAAUUUCAUCGAUCAGCACUUCAAUUACAAGAAUAAUAGAACUUGUCUACUUGACUGUCACUACUGAUCCGAAAUCCAAGUAUAUGUUAGUAGUUUGUACUUAAACUCUACACUUUUACACUUUUGAGACGAGAAAAGCCUGAACAUCUUGAGCUUCGUUGUGGUGUCGAAUUAAUCGGGUCCAUCGAUGGCAUUUUCUGUAUACAAGAAUACGAUGUUCAAUCAUAUUACAUGACCAGAUUCAUUGACAAAUAAAAAAAAAAAUCCAAACUAUACUUUACAGUUUUUCAUUGGAGAAUGGGAAAAAAAUCAUAGAAACACUCAAUCAUGAACAACUAAAGAUCUAUUGAAAAAUCAAAAUUCUUGACUCAGCUAUGAUAUAAAAUUCGAGUAAAGACUAUGAUAAAAAGCUCAAUAAAUGAUUUUUAUUAAUAUUAAUCACUUAAGAUGAGCGUCUCUGACCAACAUUUUUUAACAUAUAAUUUUACAAAUAAUCCGAACCAUUAGAAUUAAACUAAUCCAAUGGUCUAAAUCAAUUAUAUUAAAAAUCCUUUAAAAUUUAUUUCUCCACAGCUAAUCUUACCCUAAUUGCUUUUGAACAUCACCAAUUACCUUUUAAGAAGCAUUUUUUGGAAUGUUAACAACAAAUAAUAAUCAUAAUAAAAUAAAUAAAUAAAUCAUCAUCCUAAUUCUUCUCUCAAUGGCUUCAUCACCAUCCCCUAUCCAACGCAAAUUAUUCAUAUAGUUUGCUUCAGAUGAAAUGGGUUCCAAAAAAGACAAUUUUACUAACCGACCAAUCCUUUUAAAGAAAAUGAUUACAAUAAAUGAAGUCUACACAACCAAAUUAGUCCAUUCAUUCGAGACAAUUUUUCCUAAAACUGACAAGGAAUGAUUCUCAUUAUUGUUCGGUGUCUUUGCACAACAUUUUAAUCAAAUCCUCCAUUUGAGAAACAAAAAUCAAAUCCUAGAGUUUUUUGUAGAGGCUUGAGAUGUCAGUAAGUGUAUGGAUAGGAUUUGAUUGAAUGCUACGAGAUAAAUUUUUAGGAGUUUUAAUAUAAUUGAUGGAGACAAAUAGAUCAAUCUAAGUUUAAUGGUUCACAUUAUUUAUCAAAAGUAUUUGCUGCAAAAUUUAUUGGUCGAGGAACGCCGAUCCCCUUGUUUUAAAGCUUUAAAAUGUAUCAAGAUAUAACAUUGGACAUUUUUUGUUAAAGUUGUCUAUAAAGACUUUGUUGUGCUUCAAAUGCAUCAUCAAGAGUUCGAAUUUCAUCGAUCAGCACUUCAAUUACAAGAAUAAUAGAACUUGUCUACUUGACUGUCACUACUGAUCCGAAAUCCAAGUAUAUGUUAGUAGUUUGUACUUAAACUCUACACUUUUACACUUUUGAGACGAGAAAAGCCUGAACAUCUUGAGCUUCGUUGUGGUGUCGAAUUAAUCGGGUCCAUCGAUGGCAUUUUCUGUAUACAAGAAUACGAUGUUCAAUCAUAUUACAUGACCAGAUUCAUUGACAAAUAAAAAAAAAAAUCCAAACUAUACUUUACAGUUUUUCAUUGGAGAAUGGGAAAAAAAUCAUAGAAACACUCAAUCAUGAGCUGCCACAUCAGUCUAUUUUUUCCUGUUUGUUCAGUAUUAUUCUGCAAUGUUAGGGGUCGAAGUAAGCCUGACCAUUCCCUAUAUGUUGUCCUAAGGAUCCGCCAGAUAAAACUCUAAAUAAAAUGUGGUUGGAUUGGACCCAUCCACGAAUUUGUCUCGAGGGAAAAAUUCAUUGUUCAAGUGUAUUGUUUACACCAAUUCACAAAUCAGGUACAUAGUUCAAAAAUUCAAAAUUCAGGUAUCUAUAUAAUUAAUUGAAAAUAUUAUUAAUUAAAUAUAAUAAAGUCACAGUUAUAUGAUGAAUGAUCACUGAUUCAUAAUUAUAGGUUAUAGAUUUAUUUUCUGGUCACAUAUCAUCAAAUUAAUUGAUCACAAAUUAUUUUGAGGUCACAUAUGAAUUAAUUGAUCACAAAUUAUUUUGAGUUCACAAUCUAGAAUUUUGUAGGUGACAAAUUAUUUCGAGGUCACGAAUCUAAAAUUUACAAGUCUCAGAUUACUUCAGGGUCAAAUUAAUUGGUCACAGAUUGUCAAAUUCUUAGGUCACGCUUAAAUAGUUGGUCACAAAUAACUAAAUAAUUGGUCACAUGCAUCAAAUAUGGUCACAUACCAACACAAAACAUCCACCACACAAAUACUAUCAUCAUCAACACACAAAACACCAUCUAAACCCCACCUAAACUGUUAGAUCUAUCACCACAAAAUCGCCAUCACCACCACACACAAAACACCAUCCAAACCCACAAAAUCUCCACCAACCCAACUACUUAUGCUUUGCACGGGUUGCUACAGUGUUCCGGCGAUUUCAUUUCACCAUCGGAGUGGUGGAUCUGCUUCACGAUUUCAUUUCACUAUCUCAGCUCGUGGUGGACAGCGAAGGGAAAAGUGUGACAGCGUGUUGCUUCUUCAUUACAUUAGCACUAGCGAACUCCAAUAACGACAUGCUCCGAUGGCGACAACGUAUGACGGAGAGAAGACGUGAGAUGGAGUUAGGAAGAUGAAGAGAGGGAGAUGAAGAGAAGGAGUCAGUGACGAGAGGGAGAUGGAGAGUGAGAGUGAAAUGAAGAGAGAGGGGAAAUGAUUAGGGUUUUUAAUUGAAUUGGGUGGGUUAAUUAUAUAUAAUACCUGAAAUUUGAAUUUGAAUGUUUUAGUACCUAGUUUUCUAUAAUUUCCUCUUGUUUCAAUGUGAUAUUUUGGGAUGAGGAAAUGGACAAUCAGCCGAAUAUUUCAUCCAUUUCCCUACACAUCAAUCCAGAUGCAAUACCUACUUGGUCUUACUAUUGGCUCUUCCAAGAUGUGGUAAAAAACAAUUUCGCUUCAAGAGAUGACAGCCACAUGGAUCUUGCUUUGUCAAGUGAUUCUAUCACAAUCAGGGCACUUGAUGAACAUGAUAUAGGGAAUUUGAUAGAAACAUGGGCUUAAAGGAUGAAAGUAACUGGGAGAAAAGUUUUGACAUCUGAGCCUCUUAAGACUAAUGUUAAAUGGCCAUAUUGUAUAUAGGAAUAGUGGUCAACUUUUCGUAAUGAGAAGCACUUAUGAGUCCUUAUAUUCUGCCAGGUGAGAGACAUCAAGUUCAAAAUCACUAUGGAUGUUCUAGUACAUACAGCUUCAAGGAGUGCUUGGUAUUGAUCAAAACAAGGAGGGAAGAAUCGAAUAUUUUAACCCUAAUUAAUUAUAUUAAUUGAAUUUCCUCGAAUUAUUUCAAUCUUUACACUCGUCUCAUUGUAUUGAAUUUUCUAGCAGAUGUAGCGAAAAGCUGAACUAACUCCAAAUAUACUAAGAACAUUUUGAUUAUCGCUAUUAUAUAUUUUACACGUUGACAAAGUCAAAUUUCCGAAAUGAAGAAAUAAAAGAUUGAUUUGAGAAAGUUUUCAGAAUCAAAGUUGAUGCCAACAGAUGCUAGAUUUAAGAUUCGACAAGCGAUCAAUGAGAACCACCAAAAUGAGUUAAAGCAACCACUUUAAUUAUUUUUUAAAUCCAUAAAAAAAAAAAACCCACCAAAUUAACCCGCCGAAAGAAAAAGUAUUGAGCACUGAUAUAACGCUCCUCAUUUCUAUUUUAUUCCUCCCAAAUUAUGGGUAAACUGAACCAUCCACUUAUGGCUUGAGGGCCAAGGCUAAACCAAACUUGGCACUCUUAUCAAUAGAUUUGGUGUCCACUUCAGCUGAAACAGUGAUAAGGGACUUUGGCCGCCACUCAUGCUGGAGCAGAGCACUUGCCUUUCCAAAGUUGUUCACCCGCGCCUUGACUGUGGUCAAUGGAUCCAACAGAUGUUGCGUGCCAACAGUGAUGGUAUUUUCAUUCGUAGUGAAGCUAUGGGUAACCUCUGCACCAACAGCAGUGUUGGUCAAUGGACUCACUGUGUGGUAGUACGAUGCACUCAGUUUGUCACCCUUGUCAUUCCUGAAUCAACAAAACCUGGCCAUUAGCAUUUGGAUCCAAAACUUAUCAAAGCGUAUAGGGUAGCAAAGCCCCAAAAGGAUCCCAGCAAAUCAGGGAACCACUCACAAGGUCAAAGAAGCAAUCAGAUCAGCAUUUGUGAAGCUUGCCCCAAAAUUGCACUCGGUAAAAGCUCCUUCCUUUGUGUCAAAAGCCAAGUCUGAUCCCAAAGCAAGUGUAUUAUUUCCCAGAACACCAGAAAAGUUGACAAUGGGGUUAGCUGUCAACCCAAUGCUUGAGCUUAUCCCUGCAUACUCAUGCAAGUAUUGCACUUCCAACUGCCGUGGUCAUUAUGGGAAAAUAAUUAGAGGUACACUACACAUGGCAAGCACUAAGAUUUAUGAUGCUAUAAACAUUAAAGACAAAACCCCUCACCUUUCCAGACCUUUGAUCAGGAACUCUGAAGUUCAAUAUGGCCUUUAUUCCAGGAGCAGCUUCGUCAAUUGUAAUGGUGGUAAAGAGCUGGCAUUGGCUCCAUAAGUCAGUUAUAUGGUUCACCAAAGCAUAAAUCCAUUUAACAUUAUUUAUUGAUUUGUAAGAAAUGUCAACAAAAGAACACAAAAGAAUAAGAAAUCUAAGCUUGACAAUGUUCUCAGCCACAAAUAAAGUAAAUGUAACUUCAAAAUAUUGCAAAACACUAGGUAAGAGUGCUAAAAAACAUACAUUGGAGCUAGUAUCAACUUUAACAUCUGUCGUGAUAUUCUUGUGCUUCAACUGAGCGUUGAUAUCAGCCAAAAACAGUUCCCCUUUUUUUGUUCCUGUUGAUGUGAGGGCCUGCAAUUGGAGAAAAUAAACAAAACUAUAUUAAAAAUUUUGAGGUCAUACAAACUAAGAUUGAUAUCAAGACAUACCCAUUAGAAUCAUAAAUGACAAUGGCUGCAAUCAGAUCUGAACACCGUGAAUAGCCAAUAGACUAACAAAAUCUAAUCUAUAAAUACAUAUUUCAUACAAGUAGUUUCUAUAAUACAUAAUGAACUGCCUUCAAGAGAUAGUAGGAGGAGGAAAAGACAGUAGUCUGACAAAUCCAACAUCACAUUUAUCUGUUCAAUAGACAGCACUCGGAAAGCAACAGAAUGGUGUAAAAAGAGAAUUUGACAGUUUCACAAAAACAAUUAUCAUUUGGACCAGUAUAUUUUAUUUUGAAAAUGCUCCAAGUCAGUAAACCGAUAGAUUAUAUAAAUUGUUGGAUCAAUUGCAAGUUCCAAUAACAAGCGAAAGUAGUUAACUUAAUAAGUUUAACUAAAUUAGUUCACCAAAUGGAGAUGUGAAACACCAGAAAAUAAAUUAUGAAAUGAAUUUCUUCACAGUUGUAAACAUCAAAAGUGCUCGAAUAAAAAAUGGUAAGAGUAUAAGAUUCUAAAAUAUGUGUCUACAACGACAUAUAGAUACUGACAGAGAGACAAGACCUUUAUACAAUUAUACUCCAUUUCUAUAAUCUCAGAAAUCCUAGAGAAUCUUAGCAAUCUGUAUAUCAGAAACAUGUAAAGUCAACAAUCCCAGCCUCCUGGAUAGAAAAGCACUCACAAAGGAAGCUCGAGGGAUGUCUUCGAUAUCAAAAAGGAAUGUCGAGGGAUGUCUAGGAUCAAAAAGGAAGCUCGAGAGGAUUACAUUGGCUUGCUCUGUCUACUACAUUUGGAUGGAGAGGAACGGGAGGAUUUUUGGAUCUUAGGCCACAAGUUGAUUGCAUUGUAAGACAGAUUGAAACACAUGUAUUCAAAGCUACGUUCUCUUUGUAUUCGCACAUUUUAAUUCAUUAUGAGUCUUUAGCUUUGGGUCCUUAGAUGUUAUCUUUUGUACAUCCUUUCUUUUUGUUUGCCACUUGAUCUAUGUUUGUAUAUGAGUUUUGAUCAAUAGAUUUUACAUUUACCGAUUUAAAAAAAAAAAAAAAGAAUUAAUCAAUUUUGGUAAAAUUUUAAACUCUAAUCCUAACUCCAGCCACAAAAAUAAAAACCAAUCAGAUCUGCACAAAACAUUAUUAAAUCAAUAAAAAUAAAAUACUCACAACUCCAGUAGGAGAGUAGGUCGUAAUGGUGAACUUCUGGUCGCUCUGGUAAUCCCUGUACAACAGGUCUGUUCCAAACAAAAAACGAAUCGGAAAACAAUUUCACUAAACCCAAAAAAAAAGCGGUAAAAUAGCCAAAAAAAAAAAAAAAUAGAAGCAAAUAAACCCUAAUUGAAAUAUAGAACGCAACCUCGUGCUCUUUUGCCAAUAUCGGAGUAAAGACCUGGACCUUUGCCCAUGAUUUUUAACCUAAAAUUGAAGAAUCAAAAUUCACAGAAUCAAAAUGUAGAGCUAGAGAGACUGGUGUGUUGAGGAAUAUAUACAAAUAAUGCCCUCAUUUAGGUCCGUAAGUGUACAUCUACGUGUUUCUCGGGAAUCCGGGCGGUUGAUGGAGGAGGAAAUGGUGCCUCAGUUAUAUCUGAGUCGUUGAUUUAUUUGUUGGAAUGCGGUAUAGAUUUCAUUUUGAGGGGUAUUUUGGGGAUUUAACCAAGAUGUGGCACGUGGAUAAUAUGCUGACGGCUAAAAUUAAUUUCUUUGGUAAUUAGAUAUCUUAAGGUGUAUCGUUAUUUUGUUCCUCGAGAAAAUGUUUUCAAAAUUAUAAAGGGAGGAAAUUAGUACAAAAGUAUUUAAAUUCUAAACUUAAAAAAAUAUAUGGGUAAAGUCACUUUGACAGAAAAAUAUUGACUGAUUCUUUGACAGAACAAGUGUUGACAAAAGAUGAUUGGAUGAAAAAGCUAACUGUAUUUUAAAUAGUCUAUUAAUAUGAUACCUUGUGGUAUUACGUCAAGAAUUAUGUUAGCAAUUAUGUUACUAUAGCAUAAUUGAAAAAAUAUAAAUAAAUAAAUAAAUAUAUAUAUAUAUAUAUAUAUAUAUAUAUAUUAGAUUCAUCAACAUUAGUACAAAAGUAUUUAAAUUCUAAACUUAAAAAAAUAUAUGGGUAAAGUCACUUUGACAGAAAAAUAUUGACUGAUUCUUUGACAGAACAAGUGUUGACAAAAGAUGAUUGGAUGAAAAAGCUAACUGUAUUUUAAAUAGUCUAUUAAUAUGAUACCUUGUGGUAUUACGUCAAGAAUUAUGUUAGCAAUUAUGUUACUAUAGCAUAAUUGAAAAAAUAUAAAUAAAUAAAUAAAUAUAUAUAUAUAUAUAUAUAUAUAUAUAUAUUAGAUUCAUCAACAUUAUACCAUCACCAUAAUAACCUAAAUACAAAAGUUUUAUAAGGGAAUUAAAGGUACCCUUUUGUGUAGAAGUGUUCCAAUUUUGCUCAACUCUAAUUGUAAGAUCCGCUUUUAACUAUUUAAAAUUCAUUAAUAUUAUCAAAUAAGUAAAUAAAAUAAAAUAACACACUGAUGAACAAUAGAUUGAAAGGUUUUCUUUAAGCUAUUAGAACUUUUCUUCACAAUGAUGAAUGAAUAACGUUUAGGAAAAAACUUGAAUUAUUUGAAAUUAACCUCAAUGACAUUUCACUCAAGUUGCAUAUUAUGAAAAAGCUCUCAUUUUAUUAAUCAAUUUCGUGCAAAUCGAAAUGAGAUUUUCAAUUAGACUCAAUGAUUUUUCAGUUUCACAUAGAUGCUGCAAAAUAUUUUCUUAGAAAGGAGAGAUACGUGAAACCUUUACCUAAGAUCACAUAUUUUUUUAAAUAAAAAUAUUUAAAAUCAAAUCAAGAUCAUGGAGAUAUUAACUCUAUAGGAAAACUCUUAAUACUUGUCUUUUAAGAAUAUUAAAUUAUCAUUGUAAUCUUCUAGUUUCCUUCUAGUGAUGGUAAACAAUUUUGAUAUCUUUGGAUUUAUUCCUCGUUUGAAUUUGUACUGUCUGAUGUUGUCACAAAGAAUUAUUUUGUGGCUUCAACCUCAUAGAGAAUUAACAAAAGAUUCUUUUUGGUUCAGAUUUUUUCCUCGAGACGAGCUUGAUAAGUUAGUAGAAGCUAAAACGUGUUCAGUUUUGGUUAGUUAAUCUAGUGAAUCGAGUUUAUAAAAUCAUAUUGCCAUAUUUUUUUAGUAGGGCUUAAUUGUAUCAUUGGUAUUGAACUUUCAUUGAACGUGCAAUUGAGUGCUCAUCUUUAAUUUCGAACAAUGAUGUUACGAGUUUAACUAAUGAAGUUUAAUAAUGAUAAUAAUAAUAAUAAUGGUUGAAGAUAAAAGUUAGCGAGUGCCUCCGUUGAAAUACAAAUUUGGUUACACAAGUUGAAACCAAAUGCAAAUUAUGUGUACAUUAAUGUAGUCAAUCAAAACUGUCCAGAAGUGUGUGGUCCACAACAUUAGGAUAUAUUUUGUAAUAACAAAAUUCUGCACCAUGUAUUUUUAUAGUUAUAAUUACAGUAAAUUAUAUACUAAAGUUCAUAAAAUUAUGGCAGACGCAGAAAUAUGUGUGUAACUACCAUUGGAAGAAAUGGUCCUCCCCCAUUGUUCGCAAAGUAAUUAAGGAUGUAUCGUUAAAGAAUUCUUUUAUUCAAGCAAUGUUUUUAUCAAGUGAAAAAUAAUAAGGCAUUCAUUUAAGAAUACAAAGUGGUUCGACAAAGUGUCUGUCUGUUCAAGCAAGGGUCCGAACCAAAAGAGCCAAAGGGUUUGGUCUAAGCAAGAAUAUUAUAGCAUGCAUCACAUCUGGUUACUAAGAAUAAAACAAUGGAGGGACCAAAAUUGAAUAAAAUUUCCCUCAUUUGGUUCAUUGCAUUUGCUGCAACUGUUCCCACACUCAAGGCUCAAAUCUACAAGGUAUGGGAGACUCGGGCUCAAGAGGCCCGACCCAGUAAAGAUUGUAACUCAUUUGAAUGCAAAUGUCCACAGGUUGGUUCUACUUGUUUUGUGUGUGUGUAUAUAUAUAUAUAUAUGAUGAUUUUCUUGUUGAUUUGCAAAUAAAUGAUGAUCCAUGGUUUGCCAUGUGUUGACCUCGAAAAUUGAACCUUCUAUGUGGCCAACCGAGAGUUACUCCACGUAUUCCUCUCUGCGCAUGAUCAGACGCACACGGCCGGGACCAGCGGGGGUGGUGGCGGCCGUAUACACUCCGACGGUCAAGUUAGGUUCAGGUGGUCGGAACAGUACCCAGGGAUUGUGCAAAAUAAUAAGGGGGAGGAGAAAGUAUAUAUAUGCUUGCUAUGGAGUGCUAUGUAGUAAGAGUUUCAUUACCUUUGCCUCUUGCCAACCCUUGGUUAUUUAUAGGUGGGAUGAACCGUUGGAUGUGGGGCACGUGUAUACAUCUGACGGUAUGAGGUGUUUGCUCAUAGGCGUCAAUCAGCCCCGUUUGUAGAGUGGGCGGGUAAUUGCUUCUCCCAAAUUGAGUUGACAUAAAGUUGAUAAGUCACAUCAACUAGCCUCAUGGAGACGUCAAAUCAACUUAAACCUUCGGGGCAGAAAGGAUCUUGGCAAAGAUCUCCUUCUGAAAUUGGUGGUGGAUCUUCUGACAGAGGUCCCCGGAGUGCACUUCGCCUCGGCCUCAGCGGGAUCGCCUAUGUCUCGCAGUGUGAUAGCAGGUCGUUGACAUUGGGAAGAUCACUUCGGAGCCACUUCGAGUGGGUGUCUAGCAGAUCGGAGUGCGUGGUGGUGGACAUUUCGAGGUGGUUCAGAUAGGGGCGUAACAGUGGUCCCCCAAGUCCAGGUAUUAAUAUUUAUAUCAUAGGUGGACUUGCCUUCCCGACCGGAUGUGUAUGCCUCGGUACGUGGACCGUGAAUUGUGGGAAUUUGAGGGCCGAUCUUCUGCAUUCGUCGAAGCGAUGAUCUUAGGCAGAUGCUCUAAAGCUUCGCUACUGCAUAAGGAAAACAAUUACUCAUGUGAGACCGAAGUGCUGCAAGACUGGAUGAUGCGUAGGAAGAAAGUCAACGCAGAGACCGAGGCGAUGACCUACAGUGGACUCGCCUCAGAUGCGUCUAUGCGCUGACCCACAGGGGAUGACGCAUUGGGAGAUGGCUAAAACUCUGUAAAGCUUAGGAGUUAACACAACGACCGAGGCCAUGACCCACAGGGGACUCCGCAUCAGGUGCGUCUAAGCUUUGUAAAGUUAAGUAAGGAGCUCAUCUGCCACUGGUGCACUGACCCACAGGGGACGACGCGUUGGGAGAUGGCUAAAACUCUAUAAAGCUUAGGAGGGAAUGCAGCGACCAAGGCGAUGACCCACAGGGGACUCCGCAUCAAGUGCGUCUAAAUUUUGUAAAGUUGAGUGAGGAGCCCAUCUGCCAUCGGUGCGCUGACCCACAGGGGACGAUGCGUUAGGAGAUGGCUAAAACUCUGUAAAGCUUAGGAGGGAACGCAGCGACCGAGGCAAUGACCCAUAGGGGACCCCACGUCAAGUGCGUCUAAACUUUAUAAAGUUGAGUAAGGAGAUCGACCCAAGGCGGGCAUCUGACGUUAAAUGAUUUGGCACCUGUUCCGUUUUUCCAAGGUGACAGUUGGGUGCCAUGCCCAUUCCCCUAAAAGGCUGCUGCGGCUACUUAUUGUCGACAGCUGGUGGUGACCGAGGUGACGCGUUUUAUGUGAGCGUAAGGGUCACAGCAAGAUCUUAGGCGUAGAUUAAAUCUAGCGUUUCAUUGCAACGGCCUAGAUUGAUGAUGCGACAGAUGGCCUAGAUUGAUUGCAUUUGAAUUCAAUGGUGGAGAUCAGCUGGAGCGUUCUAUAAAAGGCGGAGUUUGAGCGUCUUUGAAGCUUUUCAUCCUUGUGCAAACAGAAAAUUUACUUUGCUCUCAUGUAAUUCGCGAUUUUCGACGUUUUUUGAGCGUUUCCGGCGAGAAAUAUCAAUUUUCGACGACCUUACACCAUUUUCGAUUGGGGAAACCUCUGAAUUCAUAAAUUUCAGUAACUUUCAGGACAUUUACUUUAUGAAAAAUGGCUUCUUAGGAAAGUUCUGGUUUGGGGAGGGAGCUAGAAUUAGUGAGGAUGGACGAGCCCACGGUGGCGAUCUCCUCCGAUAUAGCCGAAGCGAUACUUGGGGGGGAGAAUAUAUGAAAGAGGCAAGAUAGCCCGAUUGAUACUUCUGUGCACUGGGGGGCGUCGAAUUACCCCCCCCCCCAAACUAAAGGAGGCCGACCUAGAGAGACUUAGGGUAGAAUAUAGAAUUUCAGAUAGCAUAAAUCUGAUCCUCCCCGAGCCUGAAGAGAGGGCCUGCUACCCUAGGUCGGGGUGCGUGGCCAUAAGUGAGGCGAUCCUUAGAGCCGGUCUUAGGUUUCCAAUUCACCCUUUCUUUAGGAUGGUACUUAGGUCCUAUGGAUUAGCUCCGACCCAACUCAAUCCGAACUCAUGGAGCCAAAUGGUGGGCUCCUGGAUGUUGUGGAAAGAGGCGUGACUUGGGGUUGAGAUGCUUUUCUCCGUCUUUCAGACCCUUUAUAUCCCUAAAGCAACAGGCGGGGGGUAAGAGCCGGGGCUGGUAUUAUCUUACUUCAUGGGGUUCCCGUGCUCGAUCUGCCGAGCUCCAUCAAAGAGUGAAAGAGUUCAUGGUGCUAGGCUGCAGGACGAUGGGACACGAUGGAGGGGGACCCCCUGGUACCUCUUACGGUCCCCACGUAGUACUCGACACUUAGUGAGUAUCGCAGUUGCAUUUCUUUAUAUUUCUCUUCGGUUUAGAUCGUGACUAUCAUUUGUAUUUCUCUUCAAGGUACUCGUCCUUGGUGCGAGCUGUCUUCUGAAGACCUCGACACCAUUUACAUCAUCUAUCAGCUGUCUCAGAAAAAGAGGUCAUACCAUUGGCUGAUCAGAAAAAAUCUACACUUCGUUAUACACGACCUGAUGGCAACUCAAGGUAACUGUCCCGAAGCCUUUACCCUUCAAUAUUUCUGAACUCUUUACACUUGUACUAAUUUAUCGUUUGGUCCUUGCAGACAACUUCAACAAGAAGAUGCCAGUGCGCCCCGACUUUAAGGCCAUCCAAAGGAUGAUGGCAGAGGCACGAGCGCUAAAGACCUCCUCCUCUGCCUACAAGAAGCAAAUGAAGGACCUGGUGGAUGCCAAUAAAAGGCUCCAGCCUCCGACGGAGGAGGAGGUGCCAGAGGACCCCGAGGUCGAUCUGUUGCGAAAGGGCAAAAAGAGUGCUUCCCUUCAAAACGCCCGACUGUGGCGAAGCCACCCCCAUUCUGAAGUAGACUACAAUCCCAUCCGGGGUGGCCAUUCCGGAGAAGAGGCCUGGACCAAUAGAGGUUGCUACUGCCCCGACCACUUCGCCAUUUGCUGCCGUGCCUAUUGCCCAAGUGUCUGGACAGCAGAGGAGAAAGAGGGCCCGUCCCUUUAAGGAAGUCGACUUCUUGGGCAUCAACCCGGAGGAGCCGGUGAAAGAAGUGUUGAAGGCCCUUCCUCCAGAAAUGACUGCGGUGGUGGUGGUCCACAACAAAUACUGGAUCGAAGAGUGGAGGGACCACACCGCUUCCUGCACAGCCGAAGACCUAGUGGCGGCCAACAGUGUCUGCGUGGACCGGGCUCUUAGCACCAGUAUCCAAGUCGAGGGCUUGGUAAAGGAUCUAAACGCUAAGAGUGAGGACCUCGCUAAGCACCUCGAGGAGGCAAUGAGUACGAGGACGUUGUGAGAGAUGCCCGGGCCAAAGCCACUGAGGAGGAGAAGGGACGGAAGGAGGCCAAGGCCCAGUUGAUUGCCGCCAAAGCAGAAAUGGAGCGGCUGAAGAAGGAGCUAUACGAGGUGGAGUGCCAAGUGGUUGCCAUGACUCGACGAGUGGAUCACGCCAACGAGCACCACCAGCUCGUCAUGGAGGCUCUGGAGGCCUCAAACAAAGAAAAGACGGAGCUAAGGCAAAAGGCGGAGGCUCAAUCUGAGGAGAUCGCCUCCUUGAAAGAGGAGUUGAAGUCGGCAGGAGAGGUAGCGGUUCAGAAAUUUCAUUGACCACUUCAAAGAACACUCCCUAUACGACGACUUUCCCAACUUUUGGGCCUCCUAGAGUGCCCAAGGCUUACUGGGUCGGUUGAAAGAAGUCCACCCCACUCUGAACAUCUCCUCUUUGGCGGCAGAGUUCGGUGGACCAACUAGAGGCCGGCCUGAUAGGCUUGCUGAAGAAGCUCUGAAGGCCCCGGAGGCAGUCGAGGCAAAGGCGGUCCGAGAAGACCCUCCAGUAGAAUAGGGCCAACUUUUGUAAUGGUUUCGACCUUUUUGUAUUUCAAAUUCAAGUUAAUGAAAUGAAAUUUUUGGUUAAGUAUUGGUGUUUCUGCUGUCUUAUUGUAUUGAUCUGUUUACCAUUGUAUGAACAUUGAAGACUAAGCGCCUCUUAACAAUAACUAGUUAAUAACAGAAGAUUGGAUCACUAAAGUUAACAUGAAGCGAACCACUUAAGUAAACAUGAAGUGCCUCUUAACGUUAAUCAGUUAACAAUUUGAGAUCGGAUCACUUAAGUAAACUUAUUGAAGGACUAAGGAAACAAUUUACUAACCGAUUUGGCAUAGAAUCGAAGUUUCAUUACUUUGAAAAAUUACACCACACUUUACCAAGGCAAUUUCAGCACUUAGUAAGCUAGGGAAUUUACAACUGAGAUCAGAUCAGAACACCCAUUCAUUAGACAAUAUUGAGAUCGGAUCGAAACAAAGGCUCAUCAUUGAUAGUACUCCCUCAAAUGUUCGAUGUUCCAUUGAUGAGGUAGUGUCUUUCCUGCCAUGUCUUCAAUUUUGAAAGUGCCAGCUCAGGAUUCUCUAUGGAUGCGGUAAGGGCCCUCCCAGUUCGGUCUAAACACUCCGGACCCUGUUGGUUUUGAAGAUUGGAAGACCCUCUUGAGGACGAGGUCCCCUAAGCGAAGAGUUCUAUUUCUGACCUUGGAGUUAUAAUAGCGGAUCAUCUUGCGAUGAUACUUUACAAAGUUCACUUGGGAAGCAUCCCUUCUUUCUUCAAGGAGGUGGAGUUUGCUUAUUCGAGUCUCGUCGUUGCUGAUCUUAUUGAAGUGUAUCUGACGGUGUGAUAGGACCCCGACCUCGAUCGGGCUCAUGACCUCGGCUUCGUAGGUCAUCGAGAAUGGUGUUUCUCCUAUUGCAGCUCGGCUAGAUGUUCUGAUGGCCCAGAGGACGUGGGGAGUUCGUCCACCCAAACCCCUUUUGAGGUGUCAAGCUUCCUUUUCAGGGUGUGCUUGAUAGUCAUGUUCACUGCCUCAACUUGUCCGUUUGCUUGAGGGUGAUGAAGCGUUAACAAGUCCUUCUUUAUGCCUAGCUCGUCGCAUAAUUCUUGCAUCUUCCUGUUGUCGAACUGUCUUCCAUUGUCGGACACUAAGGAGUGGGGAUUGCCGAACCUACAAAUGAUGUUCUUCCAGACGAAUUUAGUAGUGUUCGCCUCAGUGAUCCUGGCAAGGGGUUUAGCCUCGACCCACUUAGUGAAGUAGUCAAUGGCGACAAUAGCGAAAGUUGCGCUUCCUCUUCCUUUUGGGAGUGGACCAAUGAAGUCAAUGCCUCACUUGGCGAAUAGCUAAGGGCUAGUUACUACAGAGAAGCUCCAAGAAGGCUGCCUUUGAAUAUUUGAGAAGCAUUGGCACUUGUCACAUUUCUGGACAAACUAACAAGCGUCCCUUUUUCAGGGUUGGCCAAAAGUAGCCUUGACGGAGAACCUUGUGUGCCAGAGCCGUUCCUUAUGAGUGAUUUUCGCAGAUUCCCUCAUCGAUUUCCCUGAGUAUGUAUGUGGCCUCUUUGCCUCCCACGCAUAGGAGAAGUGGCGAGGCGUAGCCUCUCUUGUAAAGAGUAUUUUCUUACAAGACGAAGUGUGCAACCCUUCUUCUUAACUUCCGCGCCUCGCUUUUAGAAGCAGGCAGUGAUUGAUCCUUCAGAUAGGUGAUGAUAGGCUGCAUCCAUAAUGGGGUGCCUUCUAUCCAUAGUACCUCUUCACCUCCGGAAGUGGAGGGCUUUGAUAAGUGCUCAAUAGGGACAACCUUUAGCAGCUCCGAAUCUUUGUUGCUGGCCAGUUUUGAAAGGGCGUCUGCAUGUGUAUUUUCUAGGCGGGGGACUUGAGUCAGUUCGAACCUUUCAAAAUGAGGAAUUAGGUCCAGAACCAACUUCAAGUAUGCAACCAUGCUACUGUCCUUGGCCGCGAAGAUCCCAUUGACCUAAUUCACUAUAAGUUGAGAAUCUGAUAUGAUCCAAGAGUCGAGCCCGAUGAAGGCAAGUGCAAGACGAGACCCGUUGAUAGUUGAUGACGGACCAAUGACGCGAUCAAGGGCAAAGCAAGUGAAACAAGCGAUGGGAUUGCUCGUUCAAGAAACCAUGGAUGGAACCAUGUUCAGGACUCAAAAUGGAGCAACUUUCAUGUUCUCGAAAGCCGAAUCGACUUGGAUCAAUUUGUUAUCAAGCGACAAAAGUAGAGGCAGAAAUCAAGAUCAUGCGGCCGCACAGGCAAAAUCACAUGCAGCCGCACAGCAUGAUACCGAAAACUAAAAGACCAGCUCAAGUUAAACCAUGCGACCGCAUGGAUUUACACCAUGCGACCGCAUGGGCCAAAAAAUUAGCGAUUUUUCUAUUUUUGGCCGAAUUUCCUAGUUCCGAUAGAAUUCUUAUGGAAUCAAAUUAUUACCAUAAUUUGAUGGUUUUGGACGUUUUUAUUCAUUAGUAUAAAUAGGAGAAUAUCUUUUCAUUGUAAAAAACCUUUGAACUUUUGACAUUGCUUAAUAUUAUAGAGAGAGAAUUAUUCUUUCAAUUUAAUUGUUCUUCUUGAACAAUCUUAAAACUUAUCAAGAUUCAACUUCUUGUGGCGUUCUAUCAAUCGGAUUGUGGGUUCUUUCAAUUGUAAUCAAGGGGUUUUAGGCUCUUCGCUAAUCUAGGGUUUCUUGGUUCAAUUCUUGGGGUUCAAGAUCCAAAAUCGGGUUAGUAUUGGCGUUCUUGAAUUCCACAUCAAUCUCGUUGUAGGUUUCAUAGUUUCCAUUGCUACGGGGUUCGCAUCAGUUGGUAUCAGAGCUUUGGCUCCAAUUUAAUCAGAUUAUAUCCUUAUUUUUCUAAUUUUUUUCAAUUCAUUGUGUUCUUGUGUCUAGAAGAUUUUCUUGAUCUUUGAUCCAAAAAAAUUUCAUCAAAAAUCUUCAAAUUCCAUUUUUGGGCUCAAUUUUCGCCCAAAUCAGUUUUUAUUUUCUUUGUUGGUUUUGUUAUUGAUUUUCGGAUCUAAAAAAAAUUGCUGUUCAUCCGUACAGUUUAAAAAAAA